GGGAAUGUAGCUUAGUGGUAGAGUGCUUGCCUAACAUGCACAAGGUCUGAGUUCAAUUCCUCAGCACCA
rnacentral:tRNA from 1 species